CACAAUACUCCACAUGCACCUUCUAAACCAUUUAAAGUUUUAAAAACAGAUCAAAAACAUUUUUUCAUGGUCGCAUUUUAGAGUUUCUUACACCAGGAGUGUCAACAGGAUUUUACUCCAUGAUCGUCCCUCAUUUCUUCAUUUGUCCAUUUCUCUACAGAGCACCUAUCUAUUCAUCUAUUCAGGGCCACUGGAACCAUCCCCACCUUCUUGAAUGGUCAAAGGCUACUAUUUAAAAAAAUGCAGCUCUUUAGUUAUUUUAAUUAUCUAUCCAUCCAUUUUUUUUGUACCGCUUAUACUACACAGGGUUGCAGGAGGGGCCUGGAGCCUGUCCCAGGGGACUCGGGGCAUGAGGCAGGGGACACCCUGUACAGGGUGCUAACCGAUCGCAGGGAACAAUUGCACACCUAUUCACACACACCCAUUCAUGCACUACGGACAAUUUCGAGAUGCCAGUCAGCCUACAACGCAUGUCUUUGGACUGGUGGAGGAAACCGGAGUACCCGGAGGGAAUCCCUGAAGCACACGGAGAACAUGCAGUCUCCGAACAUAUAGGGUGGCAGGAAUCGAAUCUCCAACCCUGGAGGUGUGAGGCAAACGUGCUAACCACUAAGCACUAAUUCCUAAGUAAUACAUUUUUUCUUUCCUAUGUUUGUUAUUUCUGAAUGUGAUGGUGAUGAUGAUGAUGAUUAUUAUUAUUAUUAUUGUUAUUAUUGUUAUUAUUAUUAUUAUUAUUAUUAUUAUUAUUAUUAUUAUUAGGGCUGUUACUACUACUGGUAGUGAACACCGCGAGAGGGCAGUAAGGGAACUGAUUGUAUUUGCCGGAUGGACUUUUUGAAUUGCAGCUCUGCCCCUAUAGGCUGUGUAAUUUGUCAUAAACGGGGAGGGGGCUGGGGGGUUGGAGGGCUGAGGGGCUGAGGGGCGGGUGAAUGUGGAAACAGAGCAGUUGUCAUUGGAGGUUUGCAUUAUGCAUUCCAUUAUACUUCCUAGCAUGAACCCUGGCAAUCAGAGAAGGCAAAUAUCGAUUAAUCUUGCGGCCUGUGCGUGCUAGUCCACAGUUUUUUCAAUUACUGAACCCAUCCUCUUGGGAAAUAACAGCUCAAACUGAAAUGCACGGCUUGUAUUUGCUUGUAAAUUAUUUAUUGUUGAUUCAUUGCAGUUGACUUAAAAAAAUUGCACAGGAGACUCUCUCUCUCUCUCUCUCUCUCUCUCUCUCUCUAUAUAUAUAUAUAAAAAUGCAGGUUCAAUGAUCUGAUGGAGCGGACAGUGUGUGGGUUGGAGUUGGAGAAGUGGGAUGGAGAAAUAGAAGCAUUCUACGUAAAGGCUAAUUAUAAUAGGUACAGUAGGCAGGGCACGCGGGAAAGUGUUUGCUCGCUUCGGGAUGAACGGAUGUAAUGUGCGCAUCCAUGCAGCGCAGCACAGGAGAGGGAGGGUGAAGGGAGGCAGAGCAAACAUUCACACGCGCAGUGUUUAUACAGAAGCAUAAACCAAAAAACAACAACAAAAAAAAAACCCCACCAAAACUCAGUGACCGCACAGCUGGAGCCAGAAACAGAACGGGGGAGAAAGCACCAAACCGCUUGCUGAACUUUCCCGGAGAUUACGCAUGUGGACUCUCACGGACUGCGCCGUGGACACAGGGACAAAAUAGAGGAAAUCAUACAGAAGCUGACUACAGACCCUUAUCCACCAACCCCACUGGACUCCUGUCUGAUGAAAAUACAUCAUCUGGAAAAUAUUUCCUACAAAUCAUGAAGGACAAAGGCUUCAGAUCUUUUCAGUGGAGUAUUGUCUGAAGAUAAAGUAAACGGAGGCAUUUGCUCUGGCCUCUAGCUCAGUAGUACCCAGAGACUGCCUGCUUCCAGAGGCUUUUCUGCUUCUCUUUGGCUGUGGAGGAGAGAAAAUGAGCACCGCAUGAGAAAUCACUAUUGUGGAUUACUGAGUAUCAAGCCAGACCAAGAACCCCUGAUCAGUAAUGGGAACUGUUAGGAGGAAUUACACCUGAAACUUGACCGAAUUACAGAACGUAGCCUUUCUAUCCUGUUGGAGAAUCACUUCUGACAUGUAUGUCAGUUUUUCUGUGUGUUAUUUUAACUGAUCCAUUGUUCCACCAAUGUAGUGAAACAAAUGAGUGAUGUAGUGUAUAUAUAAACGGUUAUCUGAAGAAGUAACAAAAAUUAAUAAAAUAUCAGAAUAGACUCAAGGCUAUUUUUGCG